UACAGAGGUCUCGAGCGUUAUCCGGAUUUACUGGGUGUAAAGGGAGCGUAGGCGGCGUGGCAAGUCAGAAGUGAAAGCCUGGGGCUCAACCCCGGAAUUGCUUUUGAAACUGUCAAGCUAGAGUGUCGGAGGGGUAAGAGGAAUUCCUAGUGUAGCGGUGAAAUGCGUAGAUAUUAGGAGGAACACCAGUGGCGAAGGCGGCUUACUGGACGACUACUGACGCUGAGGCUCGAAAGCGUGGGGAGCAAAC
rnacentral:rRNA from 1 species